UAGUGGCAGACGGGUGAGUAAUGCGUAGGAAUCUACCUAGUAGUACGGAAUAGCCAUUAGAAAUGGUGGGUAAUACUGUAUAAUCCCCGAGGGGGAAAGAUUUAUCGCUAUUAGAUGAGCCUACGUUAGAUUAGCUAGUUGGUGAGGUAAUGGCUUACCAAGGCUAUGAUCUAUAGCUGGUCUGAGAGGACGAUCAGCCACACUGGAACUGAGAUACGGUCCAGACUCCUACGGGAGGCAGCAGUGGGGAAUAUUGGACAAUGGGCGAAAGCCUGAUCCAGCUAUGCCGCGUGAGUGAAGAAGGCCUUCGGGUUGUAAAACUCUUUCAAUAGGGAAGAUAAUU
rnacentral:rRNA from 1 species